rnacentral:pre_miRNA from 1 species
UUUGUACUCCCGCCGUCCCAAAAUUCUUGUCUUAAAUUUGUCUAAAUACGGAUGUAUCUAGUUACAUUUUAGUGUUAGAUACAUCCGUAUCUAAACAAAUGUAAGACAAGAAUUUUGGGACGGAGGGAAUACUAC